CCUACGGGUGGCAGCAGUGAGGAAUAUUGGUCAAUGGACGCAAGUCUGAACCAGCCAAGCCGCGUGCAGGAAGACGGCUCUAUGAGUUGUAAACUGCUUUUGUACGAGGGUAAACGCAGAUACGCGUAUCUGUCUGAAAGUAUCGUACGAAUAAGGAUCGGCUAACUCCGUGCCAGCAGCCGCGGUAAUACGGAGGAUUCAAGCGUUAUCCGGAUUUAUUGGGUUUAAAGGGUGCGUAGGCGGUCGGAUAAGUUAGAGGUGAAAUCCCGAGGCUCAACUUCGGAAUUGCCUCUGAUACUGUUCGUCUAGAGAGUAGUUGCGGUAGGCGGAAUGUAUGGUGUAGCGGUGAAAUGCUUAGAGAUCAUACAGAACACCGAUUGCGAAGGCAGCUUACCAAGCUACUUCUGACGUUGAGGCACGAAAGCGUGGGGAGCAAACAGGAUUAGAUACCCGGGUAGUC
rnacentral:rRNA from 1 species